rnacentral:lncRNA from 1 species
GCGCAUGAAAAUGCAUGUUUGUGUACUUUGUGCGUGUUUGUGUCUGAGCCAUGAGCAUGUUUAUAUGUGUGUAUACCUUACAUGUGUGAGUACAACCUGUUUAUCAUCUGUCAGUCUGUGUUCUUGUAUGUGUAUUUGUGUAGGUAUUCUUUAGUUGACUGUGAGUAAGUGGGUAGGUUUGUGUGCGUACGUUCGCGGGUAUGUUUGCCUCGCGUGUUUAUUUGUUUGAGCGCUUUUGGGCGCGCGCGUGUUUGUGUGUGCGGUCUUCGUGUGAACGCGUAUUUUCGUGAAUGUGCGUGUGUGUUUUUGCGCAAACGUAAAGCUCCUUAUGAUUAUCCAACAGUCACCUCAGAGCCGCGAGCUGGCGCACAUUCUCUGUCUUAUAUUUAGACGCGGGAUACAUCAACUCCCAUGUGUCAUGCCGCGCAAGUUCAAAAACAGUCUUCUGACAAGAGAACACACAAUGCACAAAGAUACAGAGGACAAACAGAAGAAACACCUGCCAAUGCAAAUUCACUGGGAGGUGAAAGAGUUGCCCAGCCUGAGAAGGAAGCUGAAGUGGAUGGCUACCGUGUCCUUUUGAUCUCCCUACGCCAGCACAGUGGCCGAGUGAACAACUACAACUCUUAGCUCCUUGUGUUGACACCUCACAGGCAGCUUAAUGGGCAGUGGAGGUAGCAUAGGAGCCAGCAUAGUGCAUCCACCCUCAACGUGUCAUUAUUAGGACAUGCUUAAGUCAGGGGGCAUGAAAGGCAGCUGUGAAUUUAACUAGAUUCCGAUGGUAGGUCCAAGGUCGCUCCCACGCUAAGACGCUAACUUGGUUGAGCUGAAUGUUUACCUUGGUUUAAGCCUUGUGUGUUUGAAGGAGGGUCUUAGCUGUCACUUAAAGGGAUGUUUGUGCUGCACUGAGAAUGUGAGCGGAGCUGGGCAACUGGGAGUCCCACUCCUGAUACAUACAUGUUCCCGAUCCUCUUAAAACAUCCCUGCGCUCACAGAUUUUUAUAAUCUAACACUUCUGCGAUUACAUAGCCUAAUUCAGAAACCAAAUGGUAGCCUAUCUAAGCAGAAGCACUCAACAAAUCCACAGAAGGGGGGGGGUGAUGGACACAUAAAUGCAGUGCACGCUUUACCCAGAGCUCAUGGCUGAGCAGUGCCGGAAAGAAACUGGAGCGGGACAGAUGGCCGCCACUCUGACAUUUUCAAAACACACUCUGCACUCAAGCCAAAUCACUUGCACUCCGCUCCUUGCUGACCUUUGACAUGAACACUGACUGUUGACAGCAGUCACAUGACUUGCAGCGGGCAAGAGAACCAAAACAACCGCAAGCGGCUGUCGAUGGAGUGAUCUCCAAAUCACCUUAGCAUCUUGAUGACUUAUAUACCCAUGUAAUACCACAUUGGUUAUUGACCCACUCACACUGGUGCAUUUUAGAAUGUCAUAAUGUAUGUUACUUGUUAUACCAACU